GAGAAGUGACGUGGGAAUGGACGCAGAGGCAAAGGGGUUAGAAGCUUCUCUGCACCAAUUGCUUCAUCGUCACCACCACAAUUCUCUCAUCCUUGCCCAUCACACAGAGAAAGCCAAGAAGGAUGCAAUAAGAAAAGCCGAACGCGUCUCUGAUCUGUUGGUGGAAGCCGUCAAUGGUGGGGUCCAAGAUUCAUUCAUCAACCAGAAGCGAAUUGAGCUCGAAAUUCGAACUCUCUCUGCCACCAUCACAAGGUUCAUGAAGCAAACCGAUCAAUGGCUUGCUGCCACUCAUGCUCUCAACACCGCUCUCAAGGUACUACUACUCACUUCUUAUCAUUCAUAUGUGUGUGUACAAUGUGCCCCCAUUGUUUUUAUAUCAAUCAAUGUGUUGUAUUUACUGUAAUUUGAAAUGUGUUUCAUUUUAAAAUUUAAUGUAUUUAUUAUGUGUUGUACAUUGACAUGGCUUUGGUUAGUUUGUGUGGAUUGGGAGGAAAAUAUAACGAAACAACAACCUAGAUUAUGAUUAUUCGGGUGCCAUUUAUUUGUAAAUGAUUAUUGUUGUUGUGAUUUUUUUUAUUAGGGUACAGGUUAAGGGCUGUGAUUGACAUGCCUACUCUUGAAUUUAUUGUAAUUGGGCUGAUAAAUUGAACUUAAGUAAUCCUAGACUGUGAUGUUUCUUCUUGCCAAAUAUUCAUUGUGCUUUAGAUUAGUGACACUGUUUUUGAGUUUCCUUUUUUCGCAUUUUUUAAUUUAUGAAACAUUUGAGAGGUUUGGUUCUAUGGUUAGUAAAGGUCCCUGUAAUUAAGUUAGUUGUAAUUUUAAGGUCGAUGGUGGAAAUAGGCUUCAAUCUGGUAGCAGAGUGACCAUACGAUAAACAGUUUACUACAAUUGUUCUUUUUAGACUCCUUCUGCAGAAUCAUAUGAUUGAGUAUAAAGAUGGCGAUGGGAGAAGAUUAAUGUUUACUGGAUGAUUGAAUUUGGCAUAUAUUAUUGUAAGAGUAAAUAUAUAAUUUGAUCCCCUAGAGUGAAAUUUUGUUUAUCUUUGAUCAUUGAAAGUUUCAGUUUAAAUAAUUUAGUCCCUGAAUGUGUUAACUAUACUAUGGUCUUUUCCCUUACAGAAGAUGGAAGCAAAUGGAAGUGAAAUAUAAGAAAAAUUAAUAUAUUUAAGAUUAGAGCAAACCAAAUUAUACACAUCUACACUUUGAGGAAUUUAGUUCUCAAAAAGGACUAAAUUGUGAGCAAGUUAACAUAUUUGAUGCCAAGUAUACUAACCAAAGCUUUCAGGUUCAAAGGUAAACAGAGUGUCACUUUAAGGUACCAAUUUGAAUAUUUACUCUUAUUAUAAUCUAUACUAUAAUAAGUUCUGUAUUUUCUUUGUAGUACCAUACCAUGUUAAUGGUCAAAGUCAAGUCAUCUAAAUGGAAAUUGGAGAUUUUGAGAACUGGAUGAAGAUCCUGGAAUAUGACUGUAAAAGUAUCACUGCAGCUAUACAGAACAUUCACCAAGAGUGAUCUUGUAGCUAGUUUUAUUGCACAUCACAAUGUAAUUCUAGUCCCCUUUGAUUCAUCAUUUUUAUUCUAGGAAUAAUACCCAGUAUCAUGUAGCAGUUUAUUAGAUGAUCAUUUGUCUUGUUUUUGCAAAGUAACUGGCUUGAAGUAGCAAAAAUAUAUUGAUUAAUACAAUCUUGAUGAUAAGUUAUGUUUUUUAUUAUCAAGCUUCAUGAAAGUUUAGUUUAAAUGCUUUUAUACUCACUGUAAAGGAGCACAGGAAAAAAAAAACAGAUGCUUUGUCAUUGUGCUCUUUCCAGAGUUUGGUGUAACUGGGUAGAGUAUUAGUCCCUAAUUUUUAGCAAUAACUAACUUCCUCAACAAUUUCUUUGUUUGGUAAAAUUUACCCAUGGAUUGUUUAAGGGUGUGUUUAGAUUAGAUUUGCAAAGGAAUUUGACCUAUGUAUUCUCACAAUUCCCCCUCUCCCCUUCCCCUCCUUUCCUUUAAUGUUUUCUUUGUAACAGAUGGACCAAGGUUGUCAAACUUGAGAAUCUAUAUAAACUCGUGGUUCAUCA